GACGAACGCUGGCGGCGUGCUUAACACAUGCAAGUCGAACGGAAAGGCCCCUUUGGGGGUACUCGAGUGGCGAACGGGUGAGUAACACGUGAGUAACCUGCCCUUGACUUCGGGAUAACUUCAGGAAACUGGGGCUAAUACCGGAUAGGAAUCCUUGCUGCAUGGUGGGGGUUGGAAAGCUUCGGCGGUUUUGGAUGGACUCGCGGCUUAUCAGCUUGUUGGUGGGGUAGUGGCUUACCAAGGCUUUGACGGGUAGCCGGCCUGAGAGGGCGACCGGCCACAUUGGGACUGAGAUACGGCCCAGACUCCUACGGGAGGCAGCAGUGGGGAAUAUUGCACAAUGGGCGGAAGUCUGAUGCAGCAACGCCGCGUGCGGGAUGACGGCCUUCGGGUUGUAAACCGCUUUCAGCAGGGGCGAAGCUUUUGUGACGGUACCUGCAGAAGAAGCACCGGCUAACUACGUG
rnacentral:rRNA from 1 species